UUACGCUGUUAUCCUAAGGUAAUUUUUUCUUUUAAUCAAUAAAAUUGGAUCAUUUAAUCACUUAUUAAUGUAAACUAUUAAAAAAAGUUAAUUAAAUUUUUUUAUCACCCCAACAAAAUAAUUUAAAAUUAUAAAAAUAUAAAAAUAAAAAUAUUUACAAAAUAAAUUAUAAAACUCUAUAGGGUCUUCUCGUCUUUUUAAAUAAUUUUAACUUUUUAAUUAAAAAAUUAAAUUCAAUUUUUUUUUAUAAAAGAGACAGUUUAUAUUUCAUCCAAUCUUUCAUACAAGUCACCAAUUAAAAGACUAAUGAUUAUGCUACCUUUGUACAGUCAAUAUACUGCAGCCCUUUAAUAAAUAUAUCAGUGGGCUGAUUAGACUUUAAAUUAUUAACCAAAAAGACAUGUUUUUGUUUCAACAGGUG
rnacentral:rRNA from 1 species